rnacentral:rRNA from 1 species
UACGUAGGGGGCUAGCGUUGUCCGGAAUCAUUGGGCGUAAAGAGCGUGUAGGCGGCCCGGUAAGUCCGCUGUGAAAGUCCAGGGCUCAACCCUGGGAUGCCGGUGGAUACUGUCGGGCUCGAGUCCGGAAGAGGCGAGUGGAAUUCCUGGUGUAGCGGUGAAAUGCGCAGAUAUCAGGAGGAACACCAAUGGCGAAGGCAGCCUUCUGGGCCAAUACUGACGCUCAUGCACGAAAGCGUGGGGAGCAAACAGG